GGUGAGGGAGUAUCUACUGAGCAAACUCCUGUUAUAUGCAGUGAUCAAAGAGAGAGGAAGAAAGUGACUUUUCUCACAGCUCAAUGUGCCAGAAGCCAGUACAAGCAUCUGCUUAUGUGGGACUCUGAGAGCCAGAGCUCCAGCUCGAAGUAAACAUGAUUGCGAGGCUCCCAGACUUACCUAGAACUGUCUGACAACACAGGGAGGAUAUUGAUUCAAAUUGGACUCAAGCGAGGUCAGAUGUGACAAUAACAACUCCGACUGGUUUGAACCCGGGGCUCAGCACCUGUGGAAAUGUAUUUAAUUAAUCUCUAUCAGUAUGUCCUUUAUUUAAUAUUUACAGGAAGGAAAACUGCAAUACC